rnacentral:sRNA from 1 species
UCGAGCUAAUGACUUUAAACAAGCUCACUUGGGAGGAAACCCUAAGACUAUCUCUGUAAAUAAAUUUUUCUUUUCUUGUUAUUUUUGAUUUGUCUUAGUUGUGUUUGUGGUUCUCAGAGACAAGGGAACAACGUGGAGAUAGAAUAAAAAUUCAAAACUUUUACUCUACAGAAGACCUGGAGAUCGAGUGUAUAGCCUGGUGGAGUACAAAAUUUUGAAAGUUUUAUGUUGCAUCUGGAGACCCGGAAUUCAAGUACAUCAGUCGAGUAUACGUGAUGUUUAAAAUCCAAAAUUUUUUAAAACAUCACUGUACUCGACCAACAGGAGCUACAGAGACUUGCACGGAUUUCCUGCAGUUUAUAGUAGAUUUUCUACAAGUUUUCUCAGUCAACAGAGUGUGGACCACGCGCUGAGGAUAAGCUGGAGAGAGAAUCUAAAACUCAACCUCAGCCACUCUUUUUGAAACUUCACUCGACUUCACAGAAUCCACUCGACCUAUCAUCACUUCACCUCAACACCGACACUCCAAUUUCUCUACACCACGAAUCGCCGUCCAAAGAUCUACUCGAUCCAGACCACUUCACUCGAUUCCGUCCCAAUACUCGACCAAUUCAUCCACAUCAACCGCCGUCUCUUAUAAAAGAAGU